GCAAGCGUAUAUCGAUCUCGCGCACUCUCAAUCCAGGUUCUGUGCUAGAAGAUCGUCAUUAUGUGAUCCUAAAUUACACGUUAUUUUAGAGCCAUAAACGUAUUUUAAAAUUCAAAUUCAAAAAUAAGUGUUCUUGAAUGAUUGUUUUAAAUUUUAAGAAAAAAAACAACGAAUUUUUGAUUUUGUGAAAAACACUUCAAGGAACAUGUUCAUUUCGAACGUUUGAAAUAUGCUUUAAAAUUUUCAACAUUAGCGAAAAGAAUAAUGUAGGUUCCUAUGUAAUACUGUCUGAUAAAGCAUACGUUGUGGUGUUUUUGAAUUAAGCGGCCGUCGCUGGAUACCAGGUGAGCGUGCGCCGGCGCAGUCAGCGACGCACUUUUCUUCCCAAUCGCUCAGUGCAACAGCGGCACUAGCAGAGAACGAACUCGAGACCUCGCGGAUCCGCGACUCCGACAGUGAACUGUGAACUUACGAACUCUGUGCAUAGUAAUCUGUGAUUGUGUUUUCUUUAAAUAUAUAUUUUCGAAAGGAGCUGUUACUUUUUCGAUCUCGACAGUUGUACAGAUUCACCACUCAUACAGCAUUUUAUUCAAAGUUUAACAACAAACAACAAAUAAGGGUCGCCUGCUUUUGGUAA